UUUUACGGUGUGGUUGCAAUAAACCUCAUCCGCGGAACCCCAUACAGAGACCCUUCCCGGCUCUCUGUCGUCCAUCCAUUCCUGGAGCUAUCCGUGUGUGUGUGUGCAUGCGUGUGUGUGUGUGAGCGUGUGCUGGGAGUGGCUUCGCUUUGGAGACGCUUUUAGGAAGGUCGCGGCGUCUCGUGCUCUGGCACCGACAAGCCGCGCGGUCCGCGACAGUCAUAGGAAACAAUAGGACAACUACAGGUUCUCCACCCAUCAAGGGUUAUUGUGGAGAGCAUGUCCUAAACCUGGAGGGUGUCUGUCAUGUCCCUGCCCAGAGGGCUGCUGCUUUGGAGCAACAGAGAAUGCUGAAACGGGGUGAACAAACCAUCAGCUGUAAAGAAGAUGAACAUCUGCACAGAAAGUGGAGAAAGUGAUUGGGGGUGUUUGCUCAGGCUGUAUGAGGAUGUCACCUUGGGUGUGCAAAGUUUCAACUUCUCCAGACUGCAGGAGGGGGAAGAAAUGCUCCUGAGAUAGUCACUCUGCCUGAGAAGGCUCCAGAGACAGCCGUGGCUGCUGGUGAUCUUAUGCCUGACAACAUGAUGUGAUGUGGCGUUACAGAACUGAGCUAAUGAGCUCCCUCCCCAAUGAUACCAGAAAUUACAGGGAUGGAUUUCCCCCUCCUUUACACAGACCUGGAGUCCCUCUGGGACUUCUGCUCAUGCCACCCAGACAUUAUAUUUUCUGCUACAUUUUUGUUUCAGCUUGAAGGAGAGGAAUGAUUUUCACAUCCUGACUGGUUCAGCAUUUGCAGCUGAAGCUCUUUUCUUCCUUGUGUCAUUCUGGACUAGCUUCUACAUUUCAUCUCACACCAUUCUGUUAUGCUUUGCAUGUACAAAGUGGAACCAUCAACUUUCAGCCUAAAAGGUCUAUUUUAAUAUGAAGGGGAAAUAAAAUGAGGAAGAUCAUAAGUGAAGUCUCCAUGAAGAAGUUCACUGCACUUCCUCUUUCUGAAAACAAACUGGAGGCUGCCUCUGGCAAAUACGAGGUUUGUUUUAAUGUGACUGUACAGGAAAGACCUUACUCCUUGAACCUGCCACAGUCCUGCUCUGUGAAGUCUGCAUAAAGUUUACAUGGGAGUUAUAAAUCCGGAGGAGAGAGCACUGAAAUAAAUGGUCUUUACUUCCUAUGGGAUAAUGGUAUUGUACUCUGCCAAACUGCAUGUUGGAUUUUUGCUGUACCUCUUAUUCCCUUGAAUAAUCAAAUACCAAGAAAUUAGAAUCCACCUUCCUUUCUUUACUUACCUGCAUCCGCUUCCUUUACAAAAGCAAAAAAUAAAGACCCCACCAGAUCUUACUUUCCAAUGUAUAUGUUUUUGUUCUAAGUUUUGUGGUUCUUCCUCCCUCUAACUGAGACUUGUGGAAGUAUGUGAGCAGGUGCCUAAACAAUUUCAAGCAUUCCCACAUCAGGAAAACUUCCCUUUCCGACUCUGGGGGACUCUGCAGCCCCUGCAGAGUCAGUGGCAACAGGAACUGCCCAUGGUCUUGUAUAAUCCACCUACUCUGCUGUUCACUUUUGUGGACUUCUCCCACAGCAGUGGUAGACAGUAGACAAAAAUAAAUGGCAGAAAAAUUAUUCUACCUUACAUUUUUGAGAAUUUUUAUGUUUGGGCUCUUUCAUCCUGUCUGAGUCUGUCAUGGGCAGGUCAAGGAUGGAUGGGGUCACAGUCCCAGAGCAGAAGCAAAAUGCUGAGGCAUGGACACAAAAACAAGACCUGCUCUCCCAGUUGGCUGGCAACGUGUAUUUGGAGAUACAGUGAAGGGGCUGGGGAGGAUGAAACCUUGACAGUGUGUGUGCUCAGAACAGGCUAGUAAUGAGCCUUGGGC